rnacentral:rRNA from 1 species
CAAAAACAUAGCUUAAUGUUAAGGUAUUAAGUGGUUUCUGCCCGGUGGUAUUCUUAACGGCCGCAGUACCUUGACUGUGCUAAGGUAGCGUAAUAAUUUGGCUUUUAAUUAAGGUCUAGGAUGAAAGGGAGAACAGGGGGCAAUUGUCUUUUAUAGGGUAAUUUGAAUUUUCUUAAAAGGUGAAAAUUCCUUUAAUAGUAAUAUUAGACGAGAAGACCCUUAGAAUUUUAAUUAGGAAAGCUGUUUGUUUUUUAUUUUUGUUGGGGCGACAAAGUUACAUUUUUAACUUACAUAAUAUAGUAGUGACAAGUCGGUUUUAUAACGUUUGAGUAAAUUACCUGAGGGAUAACAGCAUAAUUUAAUAUUAAGAUUAUGACCUCGAUGUUGGAUUAGGAAAGAUAGUAAUAAGUAGUUAUUUUUAUUAGGUUCUGUUCGAACUUUAACUCCUACGUGAUCUGA